rnacentral:rRNA from 1 species
GAUUUCUGGUUUUGCGGGUUUGGCCCCCAUCUACGGUGGAGUGUGCCGUUUCCCGCUAGCCAUCCUUCUGGGGAGGGUCUCACAUCACUUUAAUGUGUUUGGGUCACGUAACCAGAUCUUUUACUUUGAAAAAAUUAGAGUGUUUAAAGCAGGCUUGCGCUAUGAAUACAUUAGCAUGGAAUAAUAAUUUAGGACUUUGUCUCUAUUUUGUUGGUUUCUAGGGAUGAAGUAAUGAUUGAUAGGGAUAGUUGGGGGUGCUGGUAUUCAGUGGCCAGAGGUGAAAUUCUCGGAUUCACUGAAGACUAACUUAUGCGAAAGCAUU